rnacentral:rRNA from 1 species
AUUGAACGCUGGCGGCGUGCUUUACACAUGCAAGUCGAACGGUAACAGGGUGCUUGCACCGCUGACGAGUGGCGAACGGGUGAGUAAUGCGUCGGAACGUGCCGAGUAGUGGGGGAUAACGCAGCGAAAGUUGUGCUAAUACCGCAUACGUACUGAGGUAGAAAGUGGGGGACCUUCGGGCCUCACGCUAUUCGAGCGGCCGACGUCUGAUUAGCUAGUAGGUGAGGUAAAGGCUCACCUAGGCGACGAUUAGUAGCGGGUCUGAGAGGAUGAUCCGCCACACUGGGACUGAGACACGGCCCAGACUCCUACGGGAGGCAGCAGUGGGGAAUUUUGGACAAUGGGCGAAAGCCUGAUCCAGCCAUGCCGCGUGUCUGAAGAAGGCCUUCGGGUUGUAAAGGACUUUUGUCAGGGAGGAAAUCCCUAGUGCUAAUAACACUGGGGGAUGACAGUACCUGAAGAAUAUGCACCGGCUAACUACGUGCCAGCCGCCGCCGUAA